rnacentral:rRNA from 1 species
AAUGAACGUUGGCGGCGUGGAUUAGGCAUGCAAGUCGAGCGAGAACCCCGCAAGGGGGGACAGCGGCGCAAGGGACAGUAAUGUGUAGAUUAUCUGCCCUCGGGUCCGGGAUAGCCGCGGGAAACUGCGGGUAAUACCGGAUAACAUCUCCGGAUCAAAGGUGUGAUUCCGCCCGAGGAUGAGUCUACAUCCUAUUAGCUAGUUGGCAGGGUAAUGGCCUACCAAGGCGAUGAUGGGUAGCGGGUGUGAGAGCACGACCCGCGUCAUUGGGACGGAGCCCCUGACCGGACGCCUACGGGUGGCUGCAGUCGAGAAUCUUCGGCAAUGGGCGCAAGCCUGACCGAGCGACGCCGCGUGUGGGAUGAAGGCCUUCGGGUUGUAAGCCACUGUCAGAGGGGAUGAAAUGCAGGUGGGUUCUCCCACUCGUUUGACAGAGCCUCAGAGGAAGGACGGGCUAAGUUCGUGCCAGCCGCCGCCGUAAAAC